GGGACGCCUCAGCCCACAGAUGUAGUGUGGACAGACAGGUCGGCCUGGUGGACAGACCAGAGACGCACAGAGAGACCGCUGGACACGCUUAAGGGCCCACCUGCUUGCUGUGCGGGGCUAAAUCCCAGCUCUCCUUGCCCUGGGCCGCCUGCCUUCUCUCUGCCUGACCCUGGGUAUAAAUAUCUCCCACUUCAUCCUGGAGGAAUUCACCGCGCACUGGCCACCAUGGCAACAGGCCGCCUGCCCCCACCCGGGGGUCACACACCGCUCGCAGGGGCAAGGCCCAGCUGCCACUGCACCACGGCUGCCCCCAUGGAAAAGGCCACCCCUUUCCACGAGAGGGGACAGCAGCCAGCCUCCUUCAUAACCGGACAACAGCAGGCAGUGACAGGAGGCCCGGGCCAGCGGCUGAAGGGCUAGGAGGGAAUGGAACGCCGCUGACCCAUUCUCUCCUCUGGGCCCCCAACGAUGGCACAGCCAGAGCCACACGCGGAGCCAGCGUUCACCCCCGAGGAUGGUCGGGAUGGUUAUCCAGGUAAAUCGUAGAGAACAAAACAGGACACCCUUGAGUGACUAAAAGAAGAGGCGGCUGGCCUUCCUCAUCGCCACGGUUACUCUUCAUCCUCAGCCCUGCUGAGAGCAAGUCUCUCCUUGGUGCUCCUGGCCCUGAGCCUCUUUCAAGGGUCCUGUACAGAAGUUUCUCUGCCCCACUUUACAGAAGAGGAAACCCAGCGCUGAAGGGCCUCGCUGGAGUCACUGGCCCCAAAGCUCCGCCCCAGCUGCCUCUGAUGCCAGGGAACCCACUCCGUCCAAAGCGCACACAGUGCCUGUUGCCCUCGCCGCGCUCCAGAAGGUGGUACCACAAUGCUCCCAUCUGACAGAUGGAAAGACUGAGCACCAGGGAGGUUGAGCCACUUACCUAAGGCCACACAGAGAACCACGCUCGGGACCCACACAAGUGUGAGCCCCUGAGCAAAAGCUGUCAAGACUCCUGCCCUCUGACUACUCUUCUGGGCCUGUUUGCCAGCAGGGAGAGAGCUUGUGAGUGUCCCUGAGUGGCUAAGGUGGGUCCCCAGACACCAGGCUAUAAGAGGGUGCUGCCUUGUGGGCCGGGUGUAGAUCGCACCAGCCUGGCAGCAUGGAAUUCCUUGCUCUUCCUCAGGCCUCUGGCUUCCCAAUCAUAAAGUGGCCGUAGAGUAUACUAACUACUUAGUCCUGGGGUUGUGGGGGGAACCGAGUGAGCAGAUCUGCAAAGGUGUGGGCACAGAGCAAGUGCUCAAUAAAUAAUACUGUUCCUACUU